rnacentral:lncRNA from 1 species
GAGAACAAGUUUCUUCGAGAGAUAAAGAGAAUUCGGAAGGAAAGGCAAUAAUGAAACGCAAUGUCACUCUGAACAAUUUUGUCUUGGAGCGGCGCGGUCAUUAAUUACUCUCGAAGUUUACCCCCUCAUCAGUUAUACAAUAACUGACGCGAAGGUAAAGGGGCAAUAAUCGAAGGUAAAGGGGUAAUAACCGACGGCCGCUGGACUUUGCCACCUCUAUUAAGGGUUGGGCCCACGGCAAUAGCCCAUCACCCGAAAGCAAUUGACGGACAGGCCAAAAAGCCCACAUGCCAUCUGCAUAGAACAAAUCCAACUCGCUCAAACCGUAAGACCGGGCUCCACUUGGACCUCUCACCCGAUGAUAGAGACCAGCCUUGUUCAUUACCUACAUAGGUCGGAAGCUUGGCUCAUAGGUUAAAAGCAGAGCUCAGGGUUACGACUGAUCCAGCUCGGAAAAAGAUAAAUAAAAAGCUACAAAUGACAAUAAGAUGAAAGGGCAAGCCGAAUUCCAACAGACGCGGUCAUAAUGAUUCUAGGGGUUUACCCCCUCGACAGUCGGAGCAAUAACUGCCGAGAAGGUAAAGGGGCAAUUGAUGACCUCUGAGUUCACCUCAUCCCCGUCUAGGGCCAGGCCCAUGAAGAUAGCCCAUUGCUUAGAGAUCCUCAAGCCAUUCACGC